rnacentral:tRNA from 1 species
GGUCUCUUGGCGCAGUUGGUAGCGCGUUUCCUUGACAUGGAAGAGGUCACUGGUUCGAGCCCAGUAGAGACCACCA